GUGGGGUGAGGUGUAUGAGCGUCUGGUCGAUGAUCAAUGGCCACACAACCCCCAUUUUUGUCGAAAAUAGCCAUGAACGACCAUUUUCAAUAAUACCGAAGGCUAACACCUACGGAAUUUUGACCAAGAAAUGGUCUCCACCAGAAAUCCAAGAAUGUGAUCUAUGGCAAGGAAACAUAUGUGGGGUGAGGUGUAUGAGCCUCUGGUCGACGAUCAAUGGCCACACAACCCCCAUUUUUUAUGAAAAUAGCCAUGAGCGACCUUGAAAAUAGCCAUGAGCGACCAUUUUCAAUAAUACUAGAGGCUAACACCUACGGAUUUUAGACCAAGAAAUGGUCUCCACCAGAAAUCCAAGAAUGUGAUCUAUGGCAAGGAAACAUAUGUGGGGUGAGGUGUAUGAGCGUCUGGUCGAUGAUCAAUGGCCACACAACCCCCAUUUUUGUCGAAAAUAGCCAUGAACGACCAUUUUCAAUAAUACCGAAGGCUAACACCUACGGAUUUUUGACCAAGAAAUGGUCUCCACCAGAAAUCCAAGAAUGUGAUCUAUGGCAAGGAAACAUAUGUGGGGUGAGGUGUAUGAGCCUCUGGUCGAUGAUCAAUGGCCACACAACCCCCAUUUUUGUCGAAAAUAGCCAUGAACGACCAUUUUCAAUAAUAUCGAAGGCUAACACCUACGGAUUUUUGACCAAGAAAUGGUCUCCACCAGAAAUCCAAGAAUGUGAUCUACGACAAGGAAACAUAUGUGGGGUGAGGUGUAUGAGCCUCUGGUCGACGAUCAAUGGCCACACAACCCCCAUUUUGCCGAAAAUAGCCAUGAAUGACCAUUUUCAAUAAUAUCGAAGGCUAACACCUACGGAUUUUUGACCAAGAAAUGGUCUCCACCAGAAAUCCAAGAAUGUGAUCUACGACAAGGAAACAUAUGUGGGGUGAGGUGUAUGAGCCUCUGGUCGAUGAUCAAUGGCCACACAACCCCCAUUUUGCCGAAAAUAGCCAUGAAUGACCAUUUUCAAUAAUACCGAAGGCUAACACGUACGAGUUUUUAACCAAGAAAUGGUUUCCACCAGAAAUCCAAGAAUGUAAUCUAUGGCAAGGAAACAUAUGUGGGGUGAGGUUUAUGAGCCUCUAGUCGAUGAUAAAUGGCCACACAACCCCCAUUUUUUAUGAAAAUAGCCAUGAGCGACCUUGAAAAUAGCCAUGAGCGACCAUUUUCAAUAAUACUAGAGGCUAACACCUACGGAUUUUAGACCAAGAAAUGGUCUCCACCAGAAAUCCAAGAAUGUGAUCUAUGGCAAGGAAACAUAUGUGGGGUGAGGUGUAUGAGCGUCUGGUCGAUGAUCAAUGGCCACACAACCCCCAUUUUUGUCGAAAAUAGCCAUGAACGACCAUUUUCAAUAAUACCGAAGGCUAACACCUACGGAUUUUUGACCAAGAAAUGGUCUCCACCAGAAAUCCAAGAAUGUGAUCUAUGGCAAGGAAACAUAUGUGGGGUGAGGUGUAUGAGCCUCUGGUCGAUGAUCAAUGGCCACACAACCUCCAUUUUUGUCGAAAAUAGCCAUGAACGACCAUUUUCAAUAAUAUCGAAGGCUAACACCUACUGAUUUUUGACCAAGAAAUGGUCUCCACCAGAAAUCCAAGAAUGUGAUCUACGACAAGGAAACAUAUGUGGGGUGAGGUGUAUGAGCCUCUGGUCGACGAUCAAUGGCCACACAACCCCCAUUUUGCCGAAAAUAGCCAUGAAUGACCAUUUUCAAUAAUAUCGAAGGCUAACACCUACGGAUUUUUGACCAAGAAAUGGUCUCCACCAGAAAUCCAAGAAUGUGAUCUACGACAAGGAAACAUAUGUGGGGUGAGGUGUAUGAGCCUCUGGUCGACGAUCAAUGGCCACACAACCCCCAUUUUGCCGAAAAUAGCCAUGAAUGACCAUUUUCAAUAAUACCGAAGGCUAACACGUACGAGUUUUUAACCAAGAAAUGGUUUCCACCAGAAAUCCAAGAAUGUAAUCUAUGGCAAUGAAACAUAUGUGGGGUGAGGUUUAUGAGCCUCUAGUCGAUGAUAAAUGGCCACACAACCCCCAUUUUUUAUGAAAAUAGCCAUGAGCGACCUUGAAAAUAGCCAUGAGCGACCAUUUUCAAUAAUACUAGAGGCUAACACCUACGGAUUUUAGACCAAGAAAUGGUCUCCACCAGAAAUCCAAGAAUGUGAUCUAUGGCAAGGAAACAUAUGUGGGGUGAGGUGUAUGAGCGUCUGGUCGAUGAUCAAUGGCCACACAACCCCCAUUUUUGUCGAAAAUAGCCAUGAACGACCAUUUUCAAUAAUACCGAAGGCUAACACCUACGGAUUUUUACCAAGAAAUGGUCUCCACCAGAAAUCCAAGAAUGUGAUCUAUGGCAAGGAAACAUAUGUGGGGUGAGGUGUAUGAGCCUCUAGUCGAUGAUCAAUGGCCACACAACCCCCAUUUUUGUCGAAAAUAGCCAUGAAUGACCAUUUUCAAAAAUACCAAAGGCUAACACGUACGGAUUUUUAACCAAGAAAUGGUCUCCACCAGAAAUCCAAGAAUGUGAUCUAUGGCAAGGAAACAUAUGUGGGGUGAGGUGUAUGAGCCUCUGGUCGAUGAUCAAUGGCCACACAACCCCCAUUUUUGUCGAAAAUAGCCAUGAACGACCAUUUUCAAUAAUAUCGAAGGCUAACACCUACGGAUUUUUGACCAAGAAAUGGUCUCCACCAGAAAUCCAAGAAUGUGAUCUACGACAAGGAAACAUAUGUGGGGUGAGGUGUAUGAGCCUCUGGUCGACGAUCAAUGGCCACACAACCCCCAUUUUGCCGAAAAUAGCCAUGAAUGACCAUUUUCAAUAAUAUCGAAGGCUAACACCUACGGAUUUUUGACCAAGAAAUGGUCUCCACCAGAAAUCCAAGAAUGUGAUCUACGACAAGGAAACAUAUGUGGGGUGAGGUGUAUGAGCCUCUGGUCGACGAUCAAUGGCCACACAACCCCCAUUUUGCCGAAAAUAGCCAUGAAUGACCAUUUUCAAUAAUACCGAAGGCUAACACGUACGAGUUUUUAACCAAGAAAUGGUUUCCACCAGAAAUCCAAGAAUGUAAUCUAUGGCAAGAAACAUAUGUGGGGUGAGGUUUAUGAGCCUCUAGUCGAUGAUAAAUGGCCACACAACCCCAUUUUUUAUGAAAAUAGCCAUGAGCGACCUUGAAAAUAGCCAUGAGCGACCAUUUUCAAUAAUACUAGAGGCUAACACCUACGGAUUUUAGACCAAGAAAUGGUCUCCACCAGAAAUCCAAGAAUGUGAUCUAUGGCAAGGAAACAUAUGUGGGGUGAGGUGUAUGAGCGUCUGGUCGAUGAUCAAUGGCCACACAACCCCCAUUUUUGUCGAAAAUAGCCAUGAACGACCAUUUUCAAUAAUACCGAAGGCUAACACCUACGGAUUUUUGACCAAGAAAUGGUCUCCACCAGAAAUCCAAGAAUGUGAUCUAUGGCAAGGAAACAUAUGUGGGGUGAGGUGUAUGAGCCUCUAGUCGAUGAUCAAUGGCCACACAACCCCCAUUUUUGUCGAAAAUAGCCAUGAAUGACCAUUUUCAAAAAUACCAAAGGCUAACACGUACGGAUUUUUAACCAAGAAAUGGUCUCCACCAGAAAUCCAAGAAUGUGAUCUAUGGCAAGGAAACAUAUGUGGGGUGAGGUGUACGAGCCUCUGGUCGAUGAUCAAUGGCCACACAACCCCCAUUUUGCCGAAAAUAGCCAUGAAUGACCAUUUUCAAUAAUACCGAAGGCUAACACGUACGAGUUUUUAACCAAGAAAUGGUCUCCACCAGAAAUCCAAGAAUGUGAUCUAUGGCAAGGAAACAUAUGUGGGGUGAGGUGUAUGAGCGUCUGGUCGAUGAUCAAUGGCCACACAACCCCCAUUUUUGUCGAAAAUAGCCAUGAACGACCAUUUUCAAUAAUACCGAAGGCUAACACCUACGGAUUUUUGACCAAGAAAUGGUCUCCACCAGAAAUCCAAGAAUGUGAUCUAUGGCAAGGAAACAUAUGUGGGGUGAGGUGUAUGAGCCUCUGGUCGACGAUCAAUGGCCACACAACCCCAUUUUUGUCGAAAAUAGCCAUGAACGACCAUUUUCAAUAAUACGAAGGCUAACACCUACGGAUUUUUGACCAAGAAAUGGUCUCCACCAGAAAUCCAAGAAUGUGAUCUAUGGCAAGGAAACAUAUGUGGGUGAGGUGUAUGAGCCUCUGGUCGAUGAUCAAUGGCCACACAACCCCCAUUUUUGUCGAAAAUAGCCAUGAAUGACCAUUUUCAAUAAUACCGAAGGCUAACACCUACGGAUUUUUGACCAAGAAAUGUCUCCACCAGAAAUCCAAGAAUGUGAUCUAUGGCAAGGAAACAUAUGUGGGGUGAGGUGUAUGAGCCUCUGGUCGACGAUCAAUGGCCACACAACCCCCAUUUUGCCGAAAAUAGCCAUGAAUGACCAUUUUCAAUAAUACCGAAGGCUAACACUACGAGUUUUUAACCAAGAAAUGGUCUCCACCAGAAAUCCAAGAAUGUAAUCUAUGGCAAGGAAACAUAUGUGGGGUGAG
rnacentral:lncRNA from 1 species